CUUGUACUCCCUCCGUUUAGAAAUACUUGUCAUCAAAUGGAUGUAUCUAGAACUAAAAUACAUCUAGAUACAUCCAUUUCAAUGACAAGUAUUUUCGAACGGAGGGAGUAGUCU
rnacentral:pre_miRNA from 1 species